AGCGGCGGACGGGUGAGUAACGCGUAGGAAUCUACCCGGUAGUGGGGGACAACAGUCGGAAACGACUGCUAAUACCGCAUACGCCCUAAGGGGGAAAGCAGGGGAUCUUCGGACCUUGCGCUAUCGGAUGAGCCUGCGUCGGAUUAGCUUGUUGGUGGGGUAAUGGCCUACCAAGGCGACGAUCCGUAGCUGGUCUGAGAGGAUGAUCAGCCACACUGGGACUGAGACACGGCCCAG
rnacentral:rRNA from 1 species